UACGGGGGGGGCAAGCGUUAAUCGGAAUUACUGGGCGUAAAGCGUGCGCAGGCGGUUUUGUAAGACAGGUGUGAAAUCCCCGGGCUUAACCUGGGAACUGCAUUUGUGACUGCAAGGCUGGAGUGCGGCAGAGGGGGAUGGAAUUCCGCGUGUAGCAGUGAAAUGCGUAGAUAUGCGGAGGAACACCGAUGGCGAAGGCAAUCCCCUGGGCCUGCACUGACGCUCAUGCACGAAAGCGUGGGGAGCAAACAGG
rnacentral:rRNA from 1 species